GUGUCGUGAGAUGUUGGGUUAAGUCCCGCAACGAGCGCAACCCUCGCCAUUAGUUGCCAUCAUUUAGUUGGGAACUCUAAUGGGACUGCCGGUGCUAAGCCGGAGGAAGGUGGGGAUGACGUCAAGUCCUCAUGGCCCUUACAGGGUGGGCUACACACGUGCUACAAUGGCGACUACAGAGGGUUAAUCCUUAAAAGUCGUCUCAGUUCGGAUUGUCCUCUGCAACUCGAGGGCAUGAAGUUGGAAUCGCUAGUAAUCGCGGAUCAGCAUGCCGCGGUGAAUACGUUCCCGGGCCUUGUACACACCGCCCGUCACACCAUGGGAGUUGGUUCUACCCGA
rnacentral:rRNA from 1 species